rnacentral:rRNA from 1 species
AUUGAACGCUGGCGGCAGGCCUAACACAUGCAAGUCGAGCGGAGCGGCGGACGGGUGAGUAAUGCCUAGGAAUCUGCCUGGUAGUGGGGGAUAACGUCCGGAAACGGGCGCUAAUACCGCAUACUAUCAGAUGAGCCUAGGUCGGAUUAGCUAGUUGGGGGGGUAAAGGCCUACCAAGGCGACGAUCCGUAACUGGUCUGAGAGGAUGAUCAGUCACACUGAAACUGAGACACGGUCCAGAUGCCUACGGGUGGCAGCAGGGGGGAAUAUUGGACAAUGGGCGAAAGUCUGAUCCAGCAAGGCCGCGUGUGUGAAGAAGGUUUUCGGAUUGUAAAGCUCUUUAGGUUGAGAGGCGUUACCAAAAGAAUAAGCACCGGCUAACUUCGUGCCGGCAGCCGCGGUAAUAC